rnacentral:rRNA from 1 species
UACGGGGGUGGCAAGCGUUGUUCGGAAUUACGGGGCGUAAAGGGCUCGUAGGCGGCCAACUAAGUCAGACGUGAAAUCCCUCGGCUUAACCGGGGAACUGCGUCUGAUACUGGAUGGCUUGAGAUUGGGAGAGGGAUGCGGAAUUCCAGGUGUAGCGGUGAAAUGCGUAGAUAUCUGGAGGAACACCGGUUGCGAAGGCGGCAUCCUGGACCAACACUGACGCUGAGGAGCGAAAGCCAGGGGAGCAAACGGG